rnacentral:piRNA from 1 species
GGUUCCUUGCUCAUGGCUAUGAUG